AGUGAACGCUGGCGGCAGGCCUAACACAUGCAAGUCGAACGGCAGCACAGGAGAGCUUGCUCUCUGGGUGGCGAGUGGCGGACCGGUGAGGAAUACAUCGGAAUCUACUCUGUCGUGGGGGAUAACGUAGGGAAACUUACGCUAAUACCGCAUACGACCUACGGGUGAAAGCAGGGGACCUUCGGGCCUUGCGCGAUUGAAUGAGCCGAUGUCGGAUUAGCUAGUUGGCGGGGUAAAGGCCCACCAAGGCGACGAUCCGUAGCUGGUCUGAGAGGAUGAUCAGCAACACUGGAACUGGGACACGGUCCAGACUCGUACGGGAGGCAGCAGUGGGGAAUAUUGGACAAUGGGCGCAAGCCUGAUCCAGCCAUACCGCGUGGGUGAAGAAGGCCUUCGGGUUGUAAAGCCCUUUUGUUGGGAAAGAAAUCCAGCUGGCUAAUACCCGGUUGGAUGACGGUACCCAAAGAAUAAGCACCGGCUAACUUCGUGCCAGCCGCCGCAGUAA
rnacentral:rRNA from 1 species